GACGAACGCUGGCGGCGUGCCUCAGACAUGCAAGUCGAACGCUGCUGUUCGCCUUCGGGUGGACAGCGGAGUGGCGCACGGGUGAGUAACACGUAGGUAAUCUACCUUUGGGUGGGAAUAACAGCCGGAAACGGCUGCUAAUACCGCAUAAUGCAGCGGCAUCACAUGAUGACAGUUGUUAAAGCGAGGGAUCGUAAGACCUCGCGCCUGAAGAGGAGCCUGCGGCAGAUUAGGUAGUUGGUGAGGUAAUGGCUCACCAAGCCUGCGAUCUGUAACCGGCCUGAGAGGGCGGUCGGUCACACUGACACUGACAUACGGGUCAGACUCCUACGGGA
rnacentral:rRNA from 1 species